rnacentral:rRNA from 1 species
ACGUUAGCGGCGGACGGGUGAGUAACACGUGGGUAACCUACCUAUAAGACUGGGAUAACUUCGGGAAACCGGAGCUAAUACCGGAUAAUAUUUCGAACCGCAUGGUUCGAUAGUGAAAGAUGGUUUUGCUAUCACUUAUAGAUGGACCCGCGCCGUAUUAGCUAGUUGGUAAGGUAACGGCUUACCAAGGCGACGACACGUAGCCGACCUGAGAGGGUGAUCGGCCACACUGGAACUGAGACACGGUCCAG